UGUCAACUUUUAUCACGUACGGUAGGUUAUAUUAAAAAAUAAUAAUAAUAAUAAAUCGAUUUACUUGGUGACGAUAAAUGACACGCAGAUAUUAUUAUGAGCUGUGCAGGCAAUUGGAAAAUCUGUUAAGUCGUAGCACACGAAGGAGAAAUUGCUUAUUUCGGAGGUACUGGAUUAGUGAAUACCAAUCAUGAUAUAAAAUGAUAUUGGGUUGUAACAUUUGUUUCUUAUGUCUCAUAUCAUUGAAAGUCAGGCCUUGAAAAUAAGCUCUGCUGCAAGUAGCUAUCUUAUUGUCUCGAGCCAAGGUGAUAGUUACGAUAAACCACGGUGUUUGAAAUAUCAUUUAUCACAGUUAGGCGUGCGUCAGGGCGGACGGUUUGAACACACAGGAACAAGUACUAGUGUCAUAAACAAGCCCUACGAACCACGAAAGAAAUCUAUAUCACAACCCAAGAUUCUUGGUACGGAUAUAAAAUUCGAGAAAUGUAUUAUCAACCGAAAACGAUAUUUUAGGGGUAAAAGGGGUGGACUCCGCGCUCGGAGAACUUAACGAUCUGGCUGUAUGAUCUCGGUCGUAAAUGGACUCGAUCCCAGUCGCAUUCUGCAGGUUGGGUACUGGGGUCAAACGCCGACGGCUCAGUUCUUGGGCAAAGUGCCGGAGAACCAGGGCGAGGAAUCUUGGUUGCUGCAACCUGCGUAUAUAGGGUGCCAUGCUCCGGCAUCUAGAUAUUCUGUAUGGAAACUUGGAUGUACCAGAUCAUCCUUACCUCAUCGUUAUCUCGAGGACGGCUAGGAUGACGCCGUAGAACAGGGUCUCGGCGCCGAAGACCUUUAUUAGCACCCGCAGUAGACUCGGAUGCACCGGCUCAUCUUCGUCUUCGUCUUCUUUCGGGCCCUUGGCCUUGCUCUUCUUCGAAUCCCGCUUGGCGGUCAGUCUCUGAAUCUCGUUCUCCCAUGUCUUCGUUAUCUUCUCCCCGAGGAGGCCACUCGUAUGCUCCUUCAGCGGAGUGUAUAGAUCUUCGACCUCGAGGUCACGCUUAUAGCCGAGCCAGAAGGUGCCCAGGAUCCAUCUGUGUUCAAAUACAAGGAAAGAAAUUUGAAAGAAAGGAAAAACAUACACUGUCAGAGGUAGGUGAACAAUAUCUGACGCGGUAUGAUAAAGUGGGCACGUUUCUUUGGACGAAUCGCUGUGGCACGACCGCCUCUUCGCCGUAAAAGAGACUAAGAGAGUUGAAUAAAUCCAGGUUCCGUCAACGAUUAUAUAUCCGAUCGCGAUGAGUAGGUGACGCGCGUUACCAGAGAUAACAACAUACAUCGGUGUGACAUGUGAAUAUACGCGCAGAUAACAAUUUUCAUGUCACGAAAUUAUAUAAGGUAAACUUACAUACUUAUGAGGAAGUUUUUCGUAGAGAAAAUGUAAUUCGUUUAAAAUGUAAAACUAUUCUAUAAUUUCUGAUCUACGAAUAAAAUUGUGCAUGAAAGUGUAUUAUUUUACUAUGUAUAUUGAGAGCCUCAUAAUAUAUACAAUCGUAAUCUCGCGAUAAUGAUAAAUAAAUCGUCUAUUAGUCAAACAGAUGAAAAAAAGUUCACAAAAGAUUCACAAUUGCAGUUGGAAAUAAAAUCUGCUGUAAAAUACUCGCCAAAAUAUUGUUAAAGUUACAAUUUAUAAUACAUGGAUGUUAGGAAAAUCAAAAUUUGCUUUAUGAAAGAUAUCAAAUAUCAAAGGAUUUAAAGAGGACCUUGAAACGCAAUAUUGUGAACUAGUAAAACCUUAUCUCUGUUCAUUUAUGUAGAGGCUAUACUGAAAACUAUUUAAUCA
rnacentral:lncRNA from 1 species